UUGCUUUGGCAGAGAACAGAAUAAAAUCAGAGCAACACAGAGAAGAUCAGCACAAACCUAUGCAAGGGUGACACACAAAUUCAUGAAAUGCUCCUUAUUUUU